ensembl:lncRNA
AUUGUGACACGGCCCCUCCCCCUUAGACAAGCCCACACCUCUCAGCGCCAGAAAGCUCCACCCCUCUCCCAGCUCCACUCCCUCUCCCACCCAGACCCCCUCCAUAGGCCACUGUGCCCCUUAGUGCCAGAAAGCCCUACCCCAUAGAUAGCUCUGCUCCUCAGCACUAGGCAGUUCCAGCCCCCCCAACUCCAGUCCCCUCCACCCCACACACCCCCUAGCACUGGACCACCCCAGUCUCUUCACUCCCACUGCCCUGGGCAGCUCCAGCUCCUCCCACGCUCCAGACCCCCGCACCCUAACUUACAUUGCACCAGGCCCCUUCCACUUCCUAGGCCUGCCCAGUACCUGCUUUUGCCCUCUCGGGACCCCUAGCCUCUUAGCCUCAGCUUCACCCCCCCUCCACCAUUUCCUUGCUGUAAGGUGCUAGGCACCUUAUGGCCCUGGGUAUUACCUUCUGCCCACUUCAGUUGCCCACCUACAACCCCAGCUCCUUGCCCUUCUGCACUUCUAGGCAGCUACCAGAGACUUCCUGGGAGGAAGCGGAGGCCAGGCCUGCCACAUGGACACAGAUGCACUGAGCAGUCCUUGGGACAGUUCUCGUUCUUCUUCCAGUUGUGAGGAGGAGCCAUAUGGAGGGCUAGCAGUGUCGGAACUCUUGGCUGGUGCUACCAAGUCCUCGUGCAGUCAGGAAGAGGAGGGACGUAAGAAGCAGCAAAGCCAUCAAGGGAAAGGAGCAGGAGUUCCACAGCAGGAUGGUUCCUGGAUGAAUAUUGCUUACACCCACUCACAAGUGUCCAGAGCCUCUGCUGAGCGGGAGAACCAUCUUCAGGCACCAAGGAAAAAGGUGGAAAGCAGGAGAGUGGACCAGAAGAACCCUCCGUUUGAGGACUUUAAGGGAAUUCCGAUAGAUCAAGACCCCAAAGAUGCUAAAUCUCAUCAACGUUCCGUGAAGAAUCAGAGAGCCUUUGUUUACCAGCCCAGCUCAACAGAACAUGCUCAAGGAGAUCCACCGCCAUUGGCCAAGCUGACCGUAGCACCAGCUGAAAAAAGAGAGCAGUGCGACAGCUCAGAGGCUCCGUCUGAGAUCAAAAGUCCGAGGCGGAUGCAGCCCCUUGCCAAGAGCACACAAACUGAAGAAUGCUCUCCAAAGCAGACCCAGCCGCCCUGCUUCCCAGAUGGCAGAGGGAACAGGAGCAGCUCUGGGCUUGAGAAGAGGAACUGUCCCCCUCCACUGGGAGGAGCAGGAAGGAAGUGGGCUGAGGGCUCUGAAGUGGAGCGUGAAGAGGAACUGAAAGAGCUUGGUUGGAUUAACUAUGGGUUCACUACGGAGCCAGUGUAUAAAAAGCUUGAUUGUCCCGUGGAGGAAGGAGUUAAAGUGAGGACUGUAACAGAUGUUAGUUAUAAAGAUGACCACCGCAUGUACUGCUUUGACUAUGGAAACAGACAUUAUUACCAACCUAAGAAAGAUCAUGAGCGAGCCUACAUGAUGAAGCUGGCAGAAAGCUCUGAGAAGGUGAUUCAGCAAAACCUGAGAGAAUUCUUUGGCCUGCUGAGGAUCUUGGUGAACGUGGUCUUCAUUUUCCUUGUUGAGCUGGUCCGCUUUCUUGGCAAGUCAGUGUUCCAGGUGAGUAGGGCCCUUCCCAGAGCUCCAAUGGCCUCCCUGCUCCUAGAAAGGCUCCUAGGAGGAUCAGAUUGUAAUGGUAGUGUUCCUUCAUCAUCGAUGCAGGGUAUUACCAUGACACUGAUUUAACCUCACAUUCCUUUGUUAAAUCUAGAGACCGAAAUGUCUCUAAACAUGCCUAACUAAUAAGCAAUUUACUACAUCCAAAUGGUAACAAAACAUUUACAAGCAUUUGAGCAAGAUACUUACAAAUGGGCUAAACCCCGGGGUGCAUAAACCCAUGAGGGUUAGCUCCAGUGUGGUCAGGCAGGUAUCUGCAAUGAAACCUUUAAAAGUUUACUUUUCUGCACAGUUUAACAAACAAGUGAUGUCAUUGCCAACUAUUGGAUCUUAGCUAAGGCCAGAUGAAAGAAUUUCUUAUAUAUCCAAUUAUUUACUGUACCUGGUACCCAAUUAACUAUGUCUUAUUUCUGUUACUUUAGCCCAAACCUUAAAUAAGAGAAAACCGGUUUAACACACUAGCUCUUCUUUCUUAUGACCUCAUCCUUUUUGAUCACAUGCCUUUGGUCUAUCCCAACUCAAUUUAAAACCAUAGUCCACCAGACAUAAUGUGGGACUGUAAUGGUAGAGGUGGACACAACUUCAAUCCUCUGAAGGAAACAGGAUGUUCUCCAGAACAUUCCUAGGAGACUAGAAUUGAUGCUACAGGGCGUGACGUUAGGUUUGUGGGUGGAUGAGGAGGAGAAAUGGAAAACUCCUCAAAAAUGAAAGUCCUGCUUCUGCUUUAUCAACAUGGCUUCUUUUUAAGUAAUUGCCAAACUCUAAUCAAAACAUGCUUUUCUGUGCUGUUUGGGUAUGCGGGAGAGGGUGAAUUCUGUGUGAGUGAAGCCGUGUGGCCGGUGGAGCCUCUGCCAUCUCAGUGGGGAGAGGUUUUCCUUGAGCAGACCCUCUUGCAGUAGAUCUUCCAUGAGGAGUGUAUGUAUCCCACUUUCUCCUUCUAUAAGUGCUGGUUCCUUUGUAACCAAGCCCUAGCCUAAAUAGUGAAGUCAACAACUCCCAGUGGAGGGGGUGGGGUACAUGGGGUCCAGAGAUACGUUGGCCUUCAGGGAGCACAACUUACUUUUCUAUAUAGAAAAGAGGAUAACCCCUGUAGAGCCCCUGGUUUUUGAGGCCAAUGGCCUUUGCUGCAUAGCCUCAGGAACGUUCUCAAAGUCUGAGACGCUACUGGAACUCCUCAUCCCUUUGAGAGAAGAGUGUGUUCUAGGAAUUGGAGAGCUCAGGGACCUCCAGCAUUGGCUAAUUUUACCUGCAUAGUUGGUUUUGGGAGCCAAAUAAAUUGAUUCAUAAAAGAACUGUCCA